AUGGUGGAAUGUUCUUGUAACCUGCUGUGGGAUGAUAGAUUUACCCUCAACAUCUACAGUUUACAAACAAUGACUCAUAGCAGUUUUGAUGCUUUUUUUAUUCAACGUAAAACCUAUGGAGACCCUAGAAGGACAAGACGAUGGGUGGGAAAAUUAUUUUGUAAUGCUUUUCUGUUCACUUGGAAAACAUUUGCUCUCGCUCGCAAAACUUUUGUGAUGGAAAUAAUAUGGGAGGAUAUUGGGAGGAAGAACUAUAUUCCAGUGCUUCUGCAAGUGAAUGUAACGUUUUAAAAGGAAAUGCAAUAGGUUUGCAAACAAAGUUUCACUAGUGAACACAAUAGUAUUUUUUCUCAUCUCAUCUCAUUUUUGAAUUUUUUUUUUUUGUCCCUUUGGGGUUCUAGAAACUGGUCUAAAGUGGUUUGCUGGUCUUAUCUGGCCACUAAGCUCUUUUUUUUUUUUUUACAUAGGUGUAGUUUGAUGGUUUUUAGAGGGGCUUUGGGUACUUGACCACUUGACCUGACCAGCUAAACGAGCUAAAUACCAGUUAAGCACUCAGAAAACAGUUAAGACCAGAAAAACAACUUGGGCUGGUUUAAACAUUGCUUUUCAGUGGAAUGUUUCAGGUCCAAUAGAGGAUAAAAUAUUAUAUAUAUUACAAAAUAAAUAUAUAAUUACGAAAAUAAAUAAACAAAAAUAAUUCCAACAUAUCAGUAAAUUCAUUUUGCAUUUAUAGUAAUGCACUUAUGGAAGGCAUUCUGGAGGUUUUUAAAAGUGGAAAUAUUUUUUAUUUUUGUACUCAUUUAUAUUAGUUCUGUUCAAACAUUUAUAAAUAAGAGUUGUCAGUGUAAGUUUUGUGGAUGAAUUUUCCUUUAUGUAAACAGUACUUCACCUAUUGAAUAAUUCUGGAUUAUGCUAAAUUUACUGGAACAUGGUCAUGACAAGAAUAUUCAAAUAUUUGAUAUAACUUUAUAUAUGAACAAAAUUGAUAACCAGUUUCAUAUGUAAUUUUUUAAAUUACACAAAAUAAUUUGAUUAAUUAAAUACUUUAUCAGUAAUUUAAAGUCUUAUCACUGUAUUUUCAAAACAGCAUAUAUUGUGUUAACAUUUAUCCCUGUGCAAUGUCUUGUCCCCAACAGACUUCCAUUGUAAGUGCAUUUCUGUAAAUGUGAUUCUUGGUUGUUUUUACAAACUGAUGGAUGAGCUGAAUUUCUGUCCUGUGGUAAUCAACAGCAUGCCAAUACACUUCAAACCCAGAACAUUCCUAGCACAAAAGGUUUCGAAAAUGUAAGUAAUUUUCAACAAUUGAGCAAUUUCCAAACCUCAUAAACAUUAUUCUUGUCGUUUUCUCAGAAAUGAGGGUACGGGGGAAAAGUACAACAACAGGCUUUGAUUAUCAGCUUCUGUUGCGUGUUACGCUUUAUGCCGGAUGGACUCGCGGCGCUGCCGAUCAACAGACAAAUGUGAGGCUUUAGAAGACAAGCAGCUCAAAUGCGUGGUCACACGCUACAAACCUCAAAAACACAUCAGCGGAGAUUGAUGAGAGUGUGUGAUGGAUAACAUUCAGGGAUGUGUGUUUGUCACUGUGUGUGCAUGUGUGUGUGUGUGUGUGUGUGUGUGUAGUGAUGCGAGGUCACACAGUAGGAAUAGUAAGUAAUUUUCUAACAAAUUGAGCAAUUUCCAAACCUCAUAAACAUUAUUCUUGUCGUUUUCUCAGAAAUGAGGGUACGGGGGGAA
rnacentral:lncRNA from 1 species